rnacentral:piRNA from 1 species
UAGCACAGCUAACGCAACCCUAGCAUGUUU